GGCCUCGUAGCUCAGUUGGCUAGAGCGUUGGCUGUAAAAAUGCCUUCCACUUGCUGGUGUGUGUUCGAAUCCCACCGAAGUUU
rnacentral:tRNA from 1 species